UACGGAGGGUGCAAGCGUUGUCCGGAUUUAUUGGGGUUAAAGGGUGCGUAGGCGGUCUUUUAAGUCAGUGGUGAAAGCCUCCAGCUUAACUGGAGAACUGCCAUUGAUACUGGAAGACUUGAGUACAGACGAGGUAGGCGGAAUUGACAGUGUAGCGGUGAAAUGCAUAGAUAUUGUCAAGAACACCGAUUGCGAAGGCAGCUUACUAGACUGUAACUGACGCUGAGGCACGAAAGUGUGGGGAUCAAACAGG
rnacentral:rRNA from 1 species